GACGAACGCUGGCGGCGUGCUUAACACAUGCAAGUCGAGCGGUAAGGCCCUUUCGGGGGUACGACGAGCGGCGAACGGGUGAGUAACACGUGGGUGACCUGCCCUCAGCUCUGGGAUAAGCCUGGGAAACCGGGUCUAAUACCGGAUAUGACUCCAUGACGCAUGUUGUGGGGUGGAAAGCCUUGUGCGGCUGAGGAUGGGCCCGCGGCCUAUCAGCUUGUUGGUGGGGUGAGGCCUACCAAGGCGACGACGGGUAGCCGGCCUGAGAGGGCGACCGGCCACACUGGGACUGAGACACGGCCCAGACUCCUACGGGAGGCAGCAGUGGGGAAUAUUGGACAAUGGGCGCAAGCCUGAUCCAGCGAUGCCGCGUGUGUGAAGAAGCC
rnacentral:rRNA from 1 species